rnacentral:misc_RNA from 1 species
ACUCCAUCCAAAAACUGAGUUUCUGAUUUUGUCUGUAACACUUCCCACUCUUUUUCAAUGGCUGCUGAAACCAUUUCAAGAUCGAAUUACCAGCUCAAAGCCUUACAUGUGUUGGGCCUCUUUUGUCUAAUGCUGUUGUUUCAGAAAGGUAAUGCAACCCAAUUCACAGUUGGAGGAGAUAAGGGUUGGACUGUCAGCGGCAAUGCCAGUGCAUACAACUACAAUCAGUGGGCAGAAAGAACCAGAUUUCAAAUCGGAGACUCCCUAUGUAAGUUGAUGUUUAUAACAUUUAUAUCUUAAAAUAUGAUAGAUCAUCACAAAGCAGCUGGAAGUCUCGUGCAUCGAGGACGCCCCUUUUUAUAUAUUAAAAUCAUCUUAAUAGUGUAAAAAAUUUACUUGAUCCAUUCAUAUAUGGGUGUGAAACUGCAGUGUUUGUGUACAAGCCAGACCAAGACUCAGUGCUUCAGGUAACCAAGGAAGACUAUGACAAUUGCACUACAACAGCAGCUCUUGCCACCUUCAACGAUGGUCACACAGUCUUCACGUUCAAUCGAUCAGGGCCUUUCUACUUCAUUAGUGGAAACAAAGAAAAUUGUCUUAAGAGUGAGAAGAUGGUGGUAAUUGUUUUGGCAGACAGAAGCAAUCAUUCCUCCAACACAAAUGUAACAAGCGCAGCUUCAUCUCCUGCACCUGCUGGCGAGGAGGCUCCUCCUACAGGAACAGUUGAGAUAAACCCAACUCCAUCUCCUACAGGCCAGCCACCGAGUGCAGCUUCUUCCACACUCAUUAGUUUCACUGGUUGCAUUGGAGCAUUCUUUGCUUCAUCUCUUAUUUUAGUAUACUAAGUGGUGUUGCAUUAUAUGCAGUUUCACUAU